UACAGAGGGUGCAAGCGUUGUUCGGAAUUACUGGGCGUAAAGCGCGCGCAGGCGGUCUUCCAAGUCAGUGGUGAAAGCCCGGAGCUCAACUCCGGAAUUGCCAUUGAAACUGUUAGACUUGAGGAUGAGAGAGGUGAGUGGAAUUCCCAGUGUAGAGGUGAAAUUCGUAGAUAUUCGGAAGAACACCAGUGGCGAAGGCGACUCACUGGCCCGAUACUGACGCUGAGGCGCGAAAGCGUGGGGAGCAAACAGG
rnacentral:rRNA from 1 species